GUACGGGGGGCAAGCGUUGUUCGGAAUUACUGGGCGUAAAGGGCUCGUAGGCGGCCACCGCAAGUCGACUGUGAAAUCUCCGGGCUUAACUCGGAAAGGUCAGCCGAUACUGCGGGGCUAGAGUGCAGAAGGGGCAACUGGAAUUCUCGGUGUAGCGGUGAAAUGCGUAGAUAUCGAGAGGAACACCUGCGGCGAAGGCGGGUUGCUGGGCUGACACUGACGCUGAUUGUGCGAAAGCUAGGGGAGCGAACGGG
rnacentral:rRNA from 1 species